UACAGAGGGUGCGAGCGUUAAUCGGAAUUACUGGGCGUAAAGUGUGCGCAGGCGGCCGAGCAAGUCGAGUGUGAAAGCCCCGAGCUUAACUUGGGAAUUGCGCUCGAAACUACUUGGCUGGAGUGUGGCAGAGGAAGGUGGAAUUCCAGGUGUAGCGGUGAAAUGCGUAGAGAUCUGGAGGAACACCGAUGGCGAAGGCAGACUUCUGGGCCAACACUGACGCUCAUGCACGAAAGCGUGGGGAGCAAACAGG
rnacentral:rRNA from 1 species